AGAGUUUGAUCAUGGCUCAGGACAAACGCUGGCGGCGUGCGUAACACAUGCAAGUCGGACGAGGCCUGGUCUCUUUUCGGAGAGGGCGGGUUCGAGUGGCGGACGGGUGAGUAACACGUGGAUAACCUACCCUGGUGUGGGGGAUACCCUGUAGAAAUACGGGCUAAUACCGCAUGAGGUCGAGUCUGGGGAGCCGGAGU
rnacentral:rRNA from 1 species